rnacentral:lncRNA from 1 species
AUGCAGAGGCGUAAGGAAGGAAAUGUGGCGCCUGCGCGGGUAAAAAUAGAAAGAUACAAAAGGCCGUGGUCUGCGGAGCCUCAUCCUGGCAGCAAGGGCCAGGGCAAAGACUGGUGUCCACUCAGUGUGUUCCCAGCACAACAGAUUUCCAGUUUCUACUGGUUUUUCAAAACCAGUUCUUCAGAUCUCCUACUGAUUGAACGAGGUUGGGAGACCCUCGUUCAAACUCUGCUUUGUCUUCCUGAAAACAUUUGGUAAAGUGUUUUAAAAUAUUUUCUUGAAAAGGGAUAGAAAUAAGCUUUGAUAAGCUAUUGCACUCAAGCAACUCACACCAAAACUUACUGUUACUUUCUUAAGAAAAAUAAAUUUCACAUUAUCUCAAUUAAUAG